CUAAAGCCAGGUGUAUUUAACCUUUGUGUAAUAUGUGCACACACAACAGUCCUGUUUUGUUUAAAACCUUUAAAAUAUAUUGUAGCAAGAGAGCAAUUUUACGGAUAAUGUAUAAAUGUAACGUGUGGCGGGACCGUUGUCUGCUCAUGAAUUGCUGUUAUAAUCUGUGUGUUCCCCUACCCUUUAGUAGAAAUGUGCCUGCUCCCAGGGACCACCCCGAUACCUUAUGUAGAAUGUUGGUUUAGAAUGUUCACACCUCACAACAAGGUGUCAAACCGCAGAGAGACCAUUGGCGCGUGCCGACCCUGGGUGGACGCCAUUUCGCACAGACGAACGCCAAUCAUGGGGAGCAUUCAUGGAUUGUGUCUCAUGAACAAGGGCCUCCCCAAUCAACUAGAACAUCUACAACUCACAACAUAAGUGUGAAACCACAAGGGAAGUAAUUAAUGAGUGCUCCCGGGGGUGGCCGCCAUUCGUAUAGAUGAACGCCAUGCAGGGGGAGCAUUCAUAUCCUGAAAGGAGACCCUUCCCUUGCCUGGUUUCACAGGGACCCCAUGAACAGCGGCUGUUCGAGGCAGGUAUCGUUGUGGGGGUCCCUGGGGAUUGGUGUGGGCUCCCUUUGGCGACAAUGGCCGGUUUGGCGGGCCAUCUGUACCUGGGAACCAAAGAGGCAGGAAGGUUUCCCGCUCUGUGAUUUCCAGGUACAGAGGCUCAAGGGAAGAAAACCCUGAGUGUCGGGCUUUCUAGGCCUGG